GAGACAUUUGAGAGACCGAUUUGUUUCUUUAACUUUGUCCUGAGUUCAGACUUCAGGUACUCAUCAGGGAAAGCAAAGGGGUUUUGGUGGUCCCUGAAUACGCGUUCUCUUCGGAGGGAUCCUCUCACGAUCCGCGCACCAAGCUCCACUUCACCAAGCUUCUCUUCGAAAGGGCAUGUCAUUUUCCAAGAGAGCUGAUUGAGGUAAAUAUGCAAAGGAAUAAUCCCUGGAUAUCUGCAGCGGUGGAAAAACUGAGGAAUAACCCUUUUGUGAUUAAUACAGUUUUGGUGGUGAUCCUAAUUGCCUUGGAGAAGUUGGUCGAGGUGGAGUUUGUAUGUGCGUGUGAUCCUAAAUGGAAUGAAGUGAAUGUUUCUCUUUUUUUUGUUAGUCCUGCCAUUGUGUCCUUUGUGCUGAGCCUGAGUAUUCAAAGACCAAGGUCAUGUCAAGCCAUUUGUUCGAGCUUUUAUCCAGCUAUUUCAUGGAUAAUCCUGCUGCUUCUUGAUGGUCGGUACCUUGCCUGUGCAAAUACAAGCUGGUCAGGCACAUAUGGAUUAAUGAAUGGUGCCGGUCGUCAGAGAUGGUGUAACAACUCAACUUUAGGUCUCGAUUCAAUGCUCAAGACACAGGAGUGGUAUUCAAUCUCUCAGCUCAUUGGAAUUGGGAUUGCAGGAGCAAUCGCUUUUGUUUAUGGACUCAUUGAGUGUUUCUGUAAAAAUAAAAUCGAAAAACUCCAAACGAAGUGCUGGAAUAAACGUCCUGGAUGUUGCUGCAACGAUGAAGAACAGGCAUUUGCUAAAAGGAACGAUGGUGCUGAAAACAACGAGGACCAGGACAGAAACCAUGAAAUGAAUUCGGUCUCCAGUCAACACCGUGGUGGAUAUGGGGCACUCCAGAAUGCAUAAUCCUGAAUGAGCCUUCCAAUGAUUACCUUCCACUUGCCUGCGCCAUGAUCAGCAAUAUUAAAAUAAUAAAAGGCUUGCAAUAUUUCAGUUGAUUUUUAAUGAAUCCAGAAUGUAUGACAUUUUUGUUUUUGUAAUUGCAGUGGAGAAAAUCACAAUAUUCAAAUUUUCUGACACAGCCCUGUAUAUGUUGUUCAUUGGCAAUCGAGUUAUGGUGCAGCUCAGGUGAUAUUUCGGAGUAAUCCAAAAGUAAUGUAACUAGUAAUGUAACUAGUUACUUUCAGCAACCAGUAACUAAGUAGUGUAAGGGAUUACUUUUUUUAAAAGUAACUAGUAAUAUGUAAUGGAUUACCUUUUUCGAAUAACUACCCCAACACUGGUCACAAGCAUGGAUGAGUGAGUAAUCUGAGCAAAUCCUGCAAAUCAGUUCCACUGAAAGCUACUUCCAAAAUCAGACUUCCAUGCACCUUUUUUUUUUUUUUUUUUAAUUGAUUUUAAAAUUUUGAUGUUUGUUUUUAAAGCCAUGGCACCCACUUAUCUUUUUUGGUUUUAAGUACCACUGUACAUACCUUUUUAUUAACUGUUUUUACACAUUGGUUUUAAUGAUCCCAUUUAUGUAGGCUAUUUUUUAGGACCUUCAUGUAAAUCACUUUGUUAACCUUCUGGCUAUUGUAAAGAGCUACGUAUACAAAUAA